UACGUAGGGUGCAAGCGUUAAUCGGAAUUACUGGGCGUAAAGCGUGCGCAGGCGGCUAUGCAAGACAGAUGUGAAAUCCCCGGGCUCAACCUGGGAACUGCAUUUGUGACUGCAUGGCUAGAGUGUGUCAGAGGGGGGUAGAAUUCCACGUGUAGCAGUGAAAUGCGUAGAGAUGUGGAGGAAUACCGAUGGCGAAGGCAGCCCCCUGGGAUAACACUGACGCUCAUGCACGAAAGCGUGGGGAGCAAACAGG
rnacentral:rRNA from 1 species